AUAAUAUACCACACGAGCUUCAAUUAUACAUGGGGACAUCAUAACCUAAAAACAUAACUUACUUCAUAGCUGUCAUAAUUCGGUCCGACUUAAUACUGGAUUCUAAUGAAUCAAAUGUGACAGUACAAAACACCUAAAGAAGAAACAAAAUUUGUCAGGCUUUAGUUUACUAAUGGCAAAGAUGAAAAUGAGAAAUAUCUGAAGAACCCACUUAGCUCUUAAAGAAAUGGGAUAAGUAUAAUCUAUACAAAUCUACACAUGGUACUUAAUACAAUAAUCAUCAAUAACCCGAAGGUCUAAUAUCACAUAGACUACAUAUGUAAAGCAUUGUACUAGAAGUGCUAUGGGAGAAGGAAGGAAUAUUCAUAAAACCUGACCAUAAAGAAAGCCUCAAUGAAGGUCCAGCCAAUAAAAUCGCAUUAAAAAAAUUAAUCUUCUUUGAUGGGACUUAACAUAAUCCAGAGACUCUACAAUAUAUCAUUCAAAACAUUCAGGAUACAACCUACAAAAAAAUAGGAAAUGGGACCCAUCCUCAAGAGAAAAAGACAAUGAAUAGAGAUUGACCCUGAGCUAAUUCAGAUGUGCCAUUAACAGACAAGGACUUUUAAUAGCUAUUAUAUUCAAGGACAUAAAGAAAACCCAAAUGGAAAUUCUAGAACUGAAAAAUAUGUUAUCUCAUAAAUGAAAGGAGAUAACAAGAGUCAGUGAACAAGAAGACAGAUUAAUAGAAAUUGCCCAAUCUAAAGAAUAGAAGGAGUGGAGGGAGAACAUAGUCUCAGGGACCUGUGGGACAAUUUCAAGAGGACUAACAGAUGUACUUGCAAUCCCAGAAGGAGAGAAAAGAGAGGGAGAUACCAAAAAAUAUUUGAAGAAAUUAUGGCUGAAAUUUCUCAAGUUAAAUGAAAGACAAAUUUAUAGGUUCAAGCUCAGGAAACUGUUAGGAUAAAUACAAAGAAAACCACACUGUUCACAGUCAUACUGCUGAAAACCAAAGACAAUAUCCUGAAAGCACCAUGAAGAAAACAAUAACGUACAAUGAACAAUGAUUUGAAUGAGUCCCAACUUUUUAUCAGCUGAAAAUGGAGGGGAAGACUCCACUGGAACAUUUUUUUGUGCAAAACAAACAAUCCCUCCCCCCAAAAAAACCCACCACUCCAAAACACAAAAUCUAUAUCCAGCAAAAAGAUUCUUUGUGUUUAAAUGCAAAAUAAAGACAUUUCAAAUAAAUUUAUUUGAAUUGUCAGAAAACCCACAGGACAAUACUAACAGAGGACUAGUUGUAAACAUGGAUCUUCAGGAAGAAAUAAAAAGUAUUAGAAAUGGUAAAUAUAUGGGUCAAUAUAUAGAAAAAAAAUCUUUCCCUCUUACCUUCUUUAAAAUACAUGACUGAAAUAAAAGUUUUAACAUAGCCUUGUAGAGUUUAUAACAUGUAGAUGUAGCUCAUAAGCCAACUACAGUAUAAAGAAUGGAAGAAGGGAUAAAUAGACCUAAAUUGUUGCAAACUUCCUCAUUUUAUGUGAAGUGGUACAAAAUUAACUCUAGAAAGACUGAAAAGUUAAAGUUGUAUAUUGUAAUCUCUAUGGUAACCAUUGAAAAAUGCAGAGGUAUAGCUAAAAGGCAAAUAGACAAAUUAAAAUGAAAUUUAAAAAAAAACACCCUGAUUAAUCCAAAAAGAAGUCAGAAAGAACAGAAAAACAAAAACAAAGGGGCCAAACAAAACUAAUAAUGAAAUAACAGACCUAAGUUCAAUCACAUCACUACUUAAACUGAACAUGAAUGGACUAAGUCCAAUUAAAGGCAGAGAGUGUCAGAACGGUUAGCAAAAGUAUGUAUAAUAUCCUAAUGGAGUUAUUUAAAAAACUUUAUUAAGAGGCAUAAAAAAAACCUGACUCAAAAGUGAGGUAGACUAUAUUCAUUGUAAAGACUGUGAUUUAAAUUGUAAAAAUAUCAUUUCUCAAAUGAAUUCAUAAAUUCAGUGAAAUUUAAAUCUAAAUAUUUUUCAGAACUUGAUAUAAUAGUAAAAUUCAAACGAAGGCACAAAUGUAACAUAAUACCUAAGAUAAUAAUCGAAGGAGAGGGGAGAAUAAACAAGGAUUUGCUUUUCAUAUAUUAAGAUAUACUAAGAUGAUAAUAAUUAAAACAAUUUGAAAAUGGGCCAGGAAACUCAUAGAAAAAUGGAGCAGAAUAUAUUUCAAAAUGUAUUUGUAAACUCUGAAAAUAAGGUGACAUUGCAAAUCAAUGGGGAAAAAAUGAAAUACUAAAAAACAGUUUCGGAAAAUUGGCUCAUUCUGGAGGUUUCCACCUUGCACCAUGUGCAGGAAUAAACUCCAAGAUAGAUUAAUGGUCUAAAUUUGAAAGCUAAAACUAUAAUAUUAAUAGACAAGAAAGUCAGUGCAUAUUUUUGUGACUUUGGGGUAAGGAAGGAAAUUUCUAAAUAUGACUUGAAAAACACAAACAACAAAAGUUGAACAGGGAAGGAUUAAUUACAUCAAAACUAAAGAUUUCAGGUUCAUUGUAGACAUACAGUAGUAGACAUAUAGUAGGCUACCACAAACAAAGUUAAAAGGCAUAUGAGAAAGAGGGAGAUAAUACAUACAAAUUCUGGUUAUUGAAAGGAGUAACAUAUGAAACACUUAAAAAAUCACUGAAAAAUAGCAGAAAAAAGACAGUUAACCAUACUGAAAAAAAAAUGCCCAAAGAAUAUGAACAGAUAAACCAAAAAAGAGCAAACCUGAACCAGUGCUACCACUUUGCACACAGCUCCAGGGACACUAUAUGAAAAUAGGGUCCUAGAGGUAUACAACCCCCAGGGUAUGGUUUAUACAGUGACCAUAUUGACUGGCUAUUAUAUAAAGACUAGCGGCCAAGUGCAUGAAAUUUGUGCACUCGGCAAAGGGGGGUUUUUGGGGGAUGUCCGUCAGCCCGGCUAUGCCCUCCUCCAGCGUCGCUGGCCGGGUAGCCUGGGCCUCCCUCUGCAGGGCGAUUGAUCGCGGAGCCCUCUGAUUGAUCACCCUGUAGAGCGUGGCCUGGGCCUCCCUCUUAGGGGUGAUCGCGGAGCCCCCCCGAUUGAUUGCCCUACCGGCUGGUGGCCUGGGCCUCCCUCUGCGGGGCACUCGUGGGGCGAUGGUGGGGCCUCCCGACCAAUCUGGCCUAGCACCAGUGCGUGUCAUAGCAUGGUCAUCCAGAUGGUCAUUCUGCUGUUUGGUUGUUCAGUCAAUUUGCAUAUUAUGCUUUUAUUAUUAUAGAAUAUCUCACUCAUAAUUAGGGCAACACAAAUGAAAACAAUGAUACACCACUUUAUACCCAUUAGAUUGGCAAAGUUAAAUUAGGGAUUAAUAGAAGAAAAAGGAGGUACAAAGCAUAAUAUACACAAAACAACAGAUACACAUACAUGUUAAAUACAAGAGAAUGGGUGCCUAUGUAAGGGAAAAGAAUAGACUGAGGUACAUACUAAAUGGAGAAAAUAAAUUGAGGAUCUUGAAUAGACAAUAUCCCAUAAACUAAGGAAUAUGAGUGAUUCAUUUAUAUGUACCUCAAAAAAGCUUUUAAGAAAUU